AUCAGGAUAAAAUAAGCUCCGUUUGUAUGCUUGAAAGACAACAAUGACUAUGAAAUAGACGACAAUGACUGUGACGAUAAAAUAAUCUCUUAUUUUACUAUUGAAUUUCAUUUAUUGAUUUUCACUUAUUGCUUGAUGAGUAAUGAAUUCUAAAGUCUUUGUUGCAUUUAUCUCCUUCAUUUUUUCCAUAUAUCUGUGUGUGCAACAAAAUUGCAAACAAAUUCAAUUCGAGAACUAGAGAAGUGAAGUUCUCAGCAAACACACACAGGACAAGAA
rnacentral:misc_RNA from 1 species